rnacentral:tRNA from 1 species
AGCCCCGUGGUGUAGUGGCCAAUCAUGCGGGACUUUGGAUCCCGCGACCCGGGUUCGAAUCCCGGCGGGGCUACCA